GCCACUCCCUGGGGUCCCCAGGCCCCUAGGACGUCCCCCUCCCUCUGCAUGGAUCACGUCUUGCUGGCAUUCCCUGUGGCUGUCUGCACCUCCCCCGGGGCGGGAUCCUGGAUGCUGCCCCUCCCCCCUUCACCUCCAGGAUCCGGUGAAGGGCCUGGCUCGGCAUGGGGGCAAAGGAAAUCUCCGUGGGAGAGGGGCUGGAGCAUCAGCGGGGCCAGGACCCCCUCCCCGCCCCUCCCCUCUCUCAGCCAGGGCGGGGCAGGGCCAGGGAUGGUCACCGUGUUGGAAUCAAAAGGGGAUUUUUCACUCCGAGAUUAAAUAUCUAAAUAAGGUAGGGCCCGGAAACUGUCCACGGUAGCUGGUGGCAGAUCAAAUGUGACCUGGGGCGCUGCCCGAAUAAGGGAGACAGUUGCCCAGGCAAUAGCGCCAGGAUUUUGUGUUGGCAGGGCUGACAGGACGGGAGGAAAGCUGACAUUCAGGACACAUGCCCGGGAGAGAGGGAAGGACAGAGCUGAGCAGUCCAGCUCAAAGGAUCUUGAAAGGGCAGGGGAAAGCCUUCCCCCCUGAUAAGUCACGACCAUUCACGUCCCUGCACUGAGGUCACGUUCAAACUGAAAAAAAGAAGAAGGAAAAAAAACCCCACAAAAACCAAAGAUUCCGGAGGCUGGAAGUUCAAGAUCAAGGUGUCCACGGGGUUGGUUUCUUCUGAAGCCUCGUGGCUUGAAGAUGGAUGCUUUCUACCUGGAUCUUCACACGGUCUCCCUUCUGUGCAUUUUUAUGUCCUGAUCUCUUUUCUCAUAAGGACACCAGUUGGCUUAGGACCCACACAUAGGCCCUCAUUUGAACUUAAUUACCCCCUUAAAUACCCCAUCUCCGAAUACAUUGUGAAGUGUUGGAGGUUAGGAUUUCAACACAUGAAUUUGGGGGGGGGGGCACCUGAAUAUUCAACCUAUGACAUUUACCUUCUGGCAAAGCAAUGUAAUCCAGGUUUGGCUUCUACUUUCCCGGUCCCUCCCCUGGAAUCUGCUAUUUUUCCAGGCAGCCUGGUGCCUUUUAAUGGAUAAUGGUAUGUAGAAAGCAAAAUUGGAUCAUUGAAGUAGUUUGGAUUUAAUUCCUGUACCUUUUUCUUAAAUUAUUUUUACUGUUUAUUCAUUAAAAUUUUUUUUAAAUGUUUGAGUGAGAGAAAGAGAGAGAGCCAGAGACAGAGUG